CACAGAAGGAGCAAGCAUUAAGCAUAUGGACUAGGCGGACAGCAUGUUAAGGCGUUAUGGUUUAUUAUUAGUAAUUUAACUAAAAAGCCAAAACCUACAGGGUUUUGGCCAACCAAAGGUAAGGGAAUUUUCAGUGUACCAGUCAAAUGGGCAUAACUUGGAAGGAACGUCAGUAGGCGUAGGCACUUACCUUGUGUAAACUUAAGCCCUCACAUGGAAGCUGGAGUAGCAAACGGG
rnacentral:rRNA from 1 species